UACGAGGGGGGCGAGCGUUGUUCGGAAUUAUUGGGCGUAAAGAGCUCGUAGGCGGUUUGUCGCGUCGAAUGUGAAAACCCGGGGCUCAACCCCGGGCCUGCAUUCGAUACGGGCAGACUAGAGUUCGGUAGGGGAGAUCGGAAUUCCUGGUGUAGCGGUGAAAUGCAUAGAUAUCAGGAGGAACACCAAUGGCGAAGGCAGCUCGCUGGAACGGUACUGACGCUGAGGCGCGAAAGCGUGGGGAGCGAACAGG
rnacentral:rRNA from 1 species